rnacentral:rRNA from 1 species
CGUAGGGGGCAAGCGUUGUCCGGAUUUAUUGGGCGUAAAGGGCGUGUAGGCGGCCAGGUAGGUCAGCUGUGAAAACUCGAGGCUCAACCUCGAGACGCCGGUUGAAACCAUCUGGCUAGAGUCCGGAAGAGGAGAGUGGAAUUCCUGGUGUAGCGGUGAAAUGCGCAGAUAUCAGGAAGAACACCCGUGGCUAAGGCGGCUCUCUAGUACGGUACUGACGCUGAGACGCGAAAGCGUGGGGAGCGAACAGGAUUAGAUACCCUGGUAGUCCACGCCGUAAACGAUGGGUGCUAGGUGUGGGGGGUGUCGACUCCCUCCGUGCCGCAGCUAACGCAUUAAGCACCCCGCCUGGGGAGUACGGCCGCAAGGCUA